rnacentral:rRNA from 1 species
CAAGAGCGUAUAUUAAAGUUGUUGCAGUUAAAAAGCUCGUAGUUGGAUUUCUGGUACAAUGCGCCUGGCCCGCGACGGUUACGUCUGUGAGUGCCGGCUGCGCGUUUGCCAUCCUUCUAGAAAACGUUUCUACCCUUAACUGGGCCGGACUCGCGAUCUAGAUCUUUUACUUUGAAAAAAUUAGAGUGUUUAAAGCAGGCUUUUGCUAUGAAUACAUUAGCAUGGAAUAAUAAUCUAGGACUCCGGUUCUAUUUUGUUGGUUUCUAAAACUGAAGUAAUGAUUGAUAGGGACAGUUGGGGGUGCUAGUAUUGGCCGGCCAGAGGUGAAAUUCUUGGAUUCGGUCAAGACUAACUUAUGCGAAAGCAUUCACCAAGGAUGUCUUCUUUAA